ensembl:lncRNA
CCCGCCGUGGGAGAAUGGGGCCUGCAGUCGCCGUGGGACACGCUCCUCUCUGGGGGUUGCAGGCCCCCAGCGAGACGUGGACCCCGGUCCCCUUCCUGCCUUAGUUUUUACUCUGAGGCAGAGUCUGAGUCAAUUAAUUGCCCAGGCUGGCUGGAAGAUUGCAAGUUUGAGCCUGGCCUAGGGAAUUUAGCAACUUAGUGAGACCCUGACUGAAAAAGAAAAUUAUUUUUAAAGGCUGGGGUGUAACUCAGUGUAAAGGGCCGGGGUUCAAUCCCUGGUGCUGAAAUAAAUGAAUGGGUAAAUGCACAUAGAAACGGAACACGGUUACGGGGUGCAGGCUGAGGUUGCAGUACAGGUGCUGGUGUGGAAUGGUCAGAUCUGGACAAUGAGCUCGUCCGGCACCAGCACCGCUCAGUGUUUGUUGUUCAGAAAGCUCAACUGUCUCCCAGCUGUCUUUUAAUAUACCACGCAUGCACGGCAGCUUUGGCCCCCAGCUGUGGAACACAACUCAGCCUUUAAAAAGGAUGAGAAAAACAGAACCAAGAUACUCAUGUAAUGGUACAAGAUCCCCCCCCCCAAAUAAAUAAAAUAAAAUAAAAAGGCCAAGAAAUACUCAGGAGGCUGAGGCAGGAGGAUCAAUUGUUGGAGCCCAGCCUGGACGACUUAGCUGCUUAGCGAGACCUCUCAAAAUUAAAAAAAAAAAAAAUUAAAGAGGGCUUGGGAUGUAGCUCAGUUGGAAGGCCCUGGGUUCCAUCCCUAGUACCACCAAAGGGGUCUCAAAAAAGAAUGAGAUCCUGUUGCUUGUGACGAUAUAGCGAGGGUGGAGAGGAUUAUGGUAAACGAAAUAAAUGAGGCCAACGUUCAUAUGUGGAAGCCAAAGAUUUUUGGUUUUUUUUUUGAGUGGUUUUUUUUGGGUUUUUUUGCCUUGAACUCACUAUGUAGCCCAGGCUGGCCUUGAACUUGUGGAGAUCCUCCUGCCUCAGCCUCCUGGUGCUGGGAUGACAGGCGUGCCCACCAUGCCCGGCAAGGCUCUUUUUUUUUUUUUUGGUACCAGGGAUCAAACUCAGGACCUUCCGCUUUCGAGGCAGGCGGUGGCACCACUGAGCUAUACCCGUGGCAAGGCUGUUAGCUUUAAAGGAAUUGUUGUGUAUGCUGUGGUAAUCCAGCAGGGAGGCAGACCCGAAGGAUAGUAUUUAUGUGGAUAAGUCAACAGUAGAACAUUGAAUGUUUAUAUGUGAUAUCAAGUGAUAGAUUAUAUAAGGGAGACAUUAUGUGUAAUUUUUUUUGUUGCAG